AUUGAACGCUGGCGGCAUGCUUUACACAUGCAAGUCGAACGGUAACGGGUUAAGCUGACGAGUGGCGAACGGGUGAGUAAUGCAUCGGAACGUGCCCGAUCGUGGGGGAUAACGCAGCGAAAGCUGCGCUAAUACCGCAUACGAUCUGAGGAUGAAAGCGGGGGACCGUAAGGCCUCGCGCGAUCGGAGCGGCCGAUGUCAGAUUAGGUAGUUGGUGGGGUAAAGGCUAACCAAGCCGACGAUCUGUAGCUGGUCUGAGAGGGCGACCAGCCAGACUGGGACUGAGACCAGGCCCAGACUCCGAGGGGAGGCAGAAGUGGGGAAUUUUGGACAAUGGGCGCAAGCGUGAUCCAGCAAUGCCGCGUGCAGGAAGAAGGCCUUCGGGUUGUAAACUGCUUUUGUACGGAGCGAAAAGGCUCUCUCUAAUACAGGGGGCUCAUGACGGUACCGUAAGAAUAAGCACCGGCUAGCUACGUGCCAGCCGCCGCAGUAA
rnacentral:rRNA from 1 species